AGUAAUAAACCAUUCAUUAACCAUGAAUAAUUACACUUGUAAAAAUGCUAAUAACUUUUUAUUGCAUUAGCCCAUUCGAAUGGAACUGGGCUCAAAAUAUUCCCUGGUUUAUGCCGAUAACAUAGAUACCAAAUAUACCAUAGUAAGCUGAACUUCCGGUCCGCCAUUUUGAUUUAUGUUGAAAACCUACUUUGUCGAACUCCUCAUCAACCGUAGGUCCGAUUUUCACCAAAUUCGAAUCAAAUGAUCUUCAGACUAUGCUGACUCAAAGUUAUGGCUUUUGAGUCGAUAGACAAAACCGUUUUCGCAUACCACAUCGACGAAUUUGAGGCACAAUGAGAAAAUGACACUUGAGGCUGUAUCCCUGGAAUGCUUUGGCAUAUUGACACCAAACUUUGUGUGUGUCAUUGAAAAGUCACACAGAGUACACCAAAUUGAUUUUAUAACAGUGCCACCUAUUGGUCAAGCUUGAUAAGCCAAGUAAUCAUGCUACUAGAGGUGGUAUUAUAAUUUUUUUUUGCCAUUUCAAUUACAAUAAUUCCAAAAUUGCUGUUAUUGCUCAUUAAUGAAUUUGGUGUGAUGCUUCAUGCGAUGCUUAGCUCCUACAUUUGCCGUUGGAGUGCUUGGCCCCGUAAUUGCUGCUUGCAGCUAUAUUUAGGGGCCAAGCACCGAAGGUGCGUAGGCACCUAUUGUUUUCGUUGGCGUUAUUAGGGGCCAAGCACCGAAGGUGCGUAGGCACCUAUUGUUUUCGUUGGCGUUAUUAUUAUUCUUCUUCUUCUUCUUCCGCCGCAAGUCUAUGGCAGCCCAUAGAACCGUUUGCGGGAAAGUUGUAUAAUUUGGCACACUGAUAGAGGACAGUCCCAACAUUAACUAUAGCAAAUUUGAAGCCUCUAACUCCUACUCUCUAGCGCCACCACUUGUCCAAACUUUCAAUGUUUGUAUGCUAAUAACUUUUGAACCGUAAGCCAGAAAAUGGAAAUUCUUUUUUCCUCUGAAUCCUUGGCUCAGGCCAAGUCGAAUGAACCCUAAAAUUCAAAAAUCGCAAGGUUUAGUUUUUUUCGCUAUUUUCAAUUAUUCGAAAAACCUACUUUUUCGAACUCGUCCUAGACGGUUAGUCCGAUUGCCACGAAAAUUGGCUCAGAUCAUCUUCAGACCAUGCUGGCAAAAAGUUAUGGAAUUCAAGUUGAUUCGUCCAACUGUUGUCGAAUGACACAUAAACAAAUUUGACGAAAAGCACGCAAACAUGCACGUGAGGCUAUAUCCCAGCAACGGCUUGUCAUAUUGAGACCAAACUUGGCGUGUGUUAUAACAAGCAUGAACUGAGACUACCUGCAGUGUUUCGACACAGCGCCACCUAGUGGUCAGGAGAUAUGAAAAAUGCAUAUUUUGGCUUAUAACUACUGAAUGGUUUGGCCAAAAAUCACACAACUGGUCUCUUUAGAUUCAGUGAGUCAUGUCGAGUCAAAUGAUAUCCAAUUUUCCUGUGUCGGCCAUUUUAGGCGUCGGCCAUUUUGAAUUAUGAUUUAAAAUGCUGUAUUUUUUGAACGCAGCAUCGUAUCGUUUCGCAAAUAAUUACAAAAAUAUUCGGCUCCAUGCCCUGAAGGUACUCAAAAAGUUUGGUGGCAGCGCCACCUUGUGGCCAAUAGUUAUAAUGAAAUAUCACAUAAAUGCUAAUAACUUUUGAAUAAAUUAGUCUAUUAAAAUUAAAAUGGUCUCGCUAUAUUCUGUGGGUCAUGCCGAGAGUAUUGAUACCAAUAAUGUGAAAAUUGGCCUUACUUCCUGUCCGCCAUUUUGCUUAAUGUUGAAAACCUACUUUUUCGAACUCCUCCUAGACCGUUAGCCCAAUUUUCACCAAAUUUGACGUGCAUUAUCUUCAGACCAUGCUGGCAAAAAGUUAUGGAUUUUGUGUCGAUAUACGUAACGGUUCUCAUUUAGCGCAUCAACGAAUUUGCUGGAAGGGUGCCAAAAUGCAUUUGAGGCUGUAUCUCUGCAACACUUUGACAUAUUUGCACCAAACUUUGUAUGUGUCAUCGCCACCUCACACUGACCAUGCCACAUAAAUUUGGUAACAGCGCCACCUAUUGGUCAAGAGUAAUAAACCAUUCAUUAACCAUGAGUAAUUACAAUUUUUAAAAUGCGAAUAACUUUUUAAUGCAUUAGCCUAUUUGAAGGAAACUGGGCUCAAAAUAUUCCCUGGCUUAUGCCGAUAACAUAGAUACCAAAUAUACCACGGUAAGCUGAACUUCCGGUCCGCCAUUUUGAUUUAUGUUGAAAACAUACUUUUUCGAACUCCUGAUCAACCGUAUGUCCGAUUUUCACCAAAUUCGAAUCAAAUGAUCUUCAGGCUAUACUGAUUCAAAGUUAUGGAUUUUGAGUCGAUAGACAAAACCGUUUUCGCAUACCACAUCGACGAAUUUGAGGCACAAUGAGAAAAUGACACUUGAGGCUGUAUCCCUGGAAUGCUUUGGCAUA